rnacentral:misc_RNA from 1 species
GUAAAUUCAAGCUCUGCUUGGUGUUGGGGCCCUACAGCUGAUGUAGGCCCUCAAAGGUAGUGGCGGACCCUCCCGGAGCCUCCUUUGCGUAGUAACUUUACGUCUCGCACUGGGAUCCGGAGGGACUCUUGCCGUAAAACCCCCAAUUUUCCAAA